ensembl:lncRNA
GUUCACGCCUUUUGCUCCACAAAUGCUCUGGUUCUGAUUAAUCCAGCACAUGAUGACAGAAAACACUCCUCGGAUCAUAUUCACAUGAACUGCAUGUGGUUUUAUUACAAGCUUUUUAAUAGUAUCAUUCCCAAUCAAAAUAUCCCCCGAAUCAAGCAAGAUACAGCUACUGGGUUCAAAUAUAACGUGCUGCAUCUGAAAAUCUCAUAAAAACAUAAGUGAUAAUUGCAUUGAUUAUUCAAUAGACAACAAUGUGGGUUAAAUGCUGCGUUCUGUUCCCUCGAUCACAGACAAAAACAAAUACACACUGAUCAUAAGCAUUCACGUCUUAACUUCGUAGCACCAUAACAAAAAAAGUACUGUGGCCGUACCAUGGUACAGUGAUUGUAUCAGAUGGUUAAAUCUAUUUUCCAGGGUUCCCCAAAUGAUGAAUAAAAUGUUUAAUACAUUUUUUUUUGUAAAUAAUUUAGAUCACAGUGGGGAUUGCAGGAAAAAAAAAAGUAAUUCUACGCAUAAUUUCUACAUCAUUCGUGUAACUUUUUUUUUUUCUCUAAAUCAUUUUAGUUGGACAUUCAUACAAUGCUUUUUAAAUGUAACAAUUUGUUUCGGAAUGUUCAGAGAACAUUCAAAAGUAACAUUUCCAUAAUGUUUGCAAAAUGAUAAAAUGGAAUGUUCACUUAAUGUUUCAAAAAAGUAAAUUUUUAACGUUUUGAAAACAGUCCGAAAUAACAUUUUUGUAACUUAAUGGGAACGCUAGAAACAUGCUCUUAGAACAUAUUUUUAUUAGCUGGGUAUAGCAUAUGUUUAAGCUUUUUACCUCUGCUGACUGUAUUUAGGCCUUAAGUUGUUCAUUUGUGACACUGGACCACAAAACCAGUCAUAAGAGUCCAUUUGAAAUUGACAGUAUUUAUAUAUUGGACAAACUAUUUGAAAAUCUGGAAUCUGAGGGAGCAAAAAAAUCUAAAUACUGAGAAAAUCACCUUUAAUGUUGUCGAAAUGAAGUUCUUAGCAAUGCAUAUUACUAAUCCAAAAUUAAGUUUUGAUAUAUUUACGGUAGGAAAUUUACAAAAUAUCUUCAUGGAACAUGAUCUUAUCUUAAUAUCCUAAUGAUUUUUGGCAUAAAAGAAAAAUGUAUAAUUUUGACCCAUACAAUGUAUUUUUGGCUAUUGCUGCAAAUAUACCUGUGCUACUUAUGACUGCUUUUGUGCUGCAGGGUCACAUUUGUGAUGUAAGAAUCAUGUAGGAGUCAUACACUUUUGCUGAUCACAGAGCUCAUUUUCUGCAAUACUCCAAAAGCCAGUGGAUAAAUCCUAAUGUGUUUUUGUCCAAGGAAACCGGGUUGGUAUGAACACAUACAAACAUACGUCAUCACUGCAGCACUCUAAACCCCCCAAAACAUGGCACUGCCAUGGUACUAUUGUGUAAGUGUUUGUUACGAUGUGAAGUGUGAGGUGUAUCUGCUGGUCGUGUCUCUGUCUGUCUCCAGCGUGUUUCUCUGAGGAUGUCCCAUCAGGCUCUCGAUGGCAGUCAGAGGCCUGCGGGAGGCGCUGCUGCUCUCUGUGCGGUUCAGGGUUUCAGAAGGCAGGCUGGAGUAAACUAGAGAUGAAGAAAUCUGAGAGCCACAAGUUCCACAGCUGAAAUCUCUCGUGCUGAAUGACCCCAAACCCCCAGACUCUCCUUCAGUCUUCAGCGAGGAGUUUUCUCCGCCCUUAUCAUCUGAUUUAGCCUUCUUCUGUAGAAGAAUAACAAUAGAGGUUCAGUUUAACUACACAACCAUGUCAUACGGCAAGGAUAAGGGAACUUAGUGGUGUAGCCAGAAUUUGAUUUUUGGGCGGGCCUGGGCAAAAGUGAGCGGGCAGUAGGGUAACUAACGGACGGAGUCCAGUAGCAUAGUGGGUCUGUGGGUGGCGGGGGUUGGCUGGUUAUGUCGCAAUAUAUUAAAUAUUUGUUUUUAACCAGGAAGGUUUAUCCAAUGGAUAUCACACAAGCAACGUGCACACUUUGCGCAAGAGUUAUGUUAGGUGGAGGGUGAACCAACUCCAGGGUAAGGCUAAAAACAGCCAAAUAUAUUAAACAUCAUAAACCCGUCUUUUUAGGCAACAACCAGAGGGACAUUCUAAAGCGCUUAACGUGGCUUCAUGUACUAAGACAGUGAUAUUAACAGACAAACUCAGUAAACAUCAUACUAAUAAAGUAUAGGCUACUAUCUACAAAAAAUCAGAUGAGCCCUGAAUAUGAAUGCAACACGUUUAAUAACACGUUUAGCAUUUCCUCCCAAAGAAAACCGUUAUAAGAAAACACUUAACGUGGCUUAGUUAAAUGUUGUGUCCCGAACAUAGGCUAGUGGAAAAAAAUAAAAAAAAUAAAAUAAAAUUCAUAAAUAAAGAGAAGAAACGUAGGCUUUCGUGUUAAACAGGUUGUUUUUUCUUUUUAAAAAAGUUGGUGCUUGAAAUUAAGCUUUUUUUUAUUAUUGAUGAUUGCAGUGUUAAUCAUUUUAGGCCUAUAAUUCAUUGCAUAAUAAAUCUGUUUUGAAAGACAUUUUUAAAAACAUUUUUAAUGAGGUGUAAGCUAGUCUUUAUUAUCCUCGCAGCGCGUCAGUUAUGCGGUGAUGCACGAUGAAAUUAUUGCGGGGAAAAUUAAUUGUAGGCCUAGUAUUAAUUUAAUAAUAAAGGUAACUUAAUAUUAAUAGGCCUAAUAAUCAGAAGAAUGUAACAGGCCUACACUAACUGAAAAAGCCAAAUUAGAUAUAAAUAAAAUGUAGCUAUACAAUUAUUUGAUUCAGAAAUGUCAUGUUAGUGAUUUUUUUUUUUUUUUUUCAAUUCGUUAUUUAAAUAAAUAGGCUUCAGAUUAGGAAACAGGUUUAGUUAAAUGCAGGCGUCAGUCACAAAAUUAUAUUUACAUUCCCGAAACAGCCUGGAUAACAAUUGGCUAACACUGCUGUCAGUCAAACUCAUCAAGAAUUAUGCAAAAACACAUUUUAUAAUAGUUAUAAUAAUAAUUGUGUUAAAACAGAUGUAACAAUAAUUUAAUAAAUAUUAUAUUUGUAUAAUAAUCUGUGGGGGCCUGGGGCCUGUAUAGAGGGAAUUUCCUCUAUAUCUUAGAGAACAUAAAUGCUGUCAUAAUGCUUGAGAAAUAACACAGAUUAAAAUAAGCGAGCGUGGAUUAGCUCAUACAUGCUUGUCGUCAUGGUUUUCUGAUCCUGAAGACUUUCCUGAGUCCUGGGAUUAAAACAAAAGCAACAAGACACAAUCAGACAGAAGACAAAUUAAACUACAUCAGAUAUAUGACAUUGACAGUGCUGUCCGACAACAAUGCAGCAUAUAUAAAUUACAUAUUCUGUAUUAUAUAUCAUACAUACAAAAACCAUAAAAAUUAUUUUGUUACUUGAAAUCAAAUCUACAAUGAAAUAAAGUAAAAUAAAAUAUUACAAAACUAAUAAUCUAAAAAAUGAAUAAACUAAUAAAAAUGACGAAAAAACUAAAUUGCAAUUUUUUUUUAACUAUUUAAAAUGAAAAUACCAAAAUAAAAACUAAAUUCAACAUUAAUAAAAACUAUAAAAGCAUCUUAAUUAUACUAUAACAAUGGUGGUAAAAUCGCUUAUUUUUGAAUUAUUGACUUUAUAAAGUGAGUUGCAACAUUUUCUUUGCAUCUUUUUCACUAACCACCAGCACUGCAGGUUAACCAGGUGUUAAACCAGUACUGCAGGUUUAAACCAGUCUUAACUGAUGAUUAACCACCUUUUUACUCUUCUUGUCUUUCUUCUUCUUUUUCUUCUUGUCUUUCUUCUUUUUCUUGUCCUUCUUGUCUUUUUCACUUUUCUUCUUCUUCUUCUUCUUCUUCUUGUCAUCAUCGCUGUCUGAAGAGGAGGAUGAGGAGCUGCUGUCGGAUGAUGAAGAGGAGCUGGACUCCUGAGAAUGGAGGUCAAGAGAGGAGGAUGAGGAGCUGCUGUCAGAUGAUGAAGAGGAGCUGGACUCCUGAGGAUGGAGGUCAAGAGAAGAAGAUGAGGAGCUACUUGAUGACGAAGAUGAAGAAGAAUCCUUUAAGAAACGAGAGCAGAGCAGUAAUUCA